rnacentral:lncRNA from 1 species
CUGGGGGAUGCCCUUUCACAUCCAGUCCAUUUGGAUUCUCCGAAGCCUGCACGCUGGAAUGGCUGAGUCAUCUGAACAGCAAAGAUGGCAAGUCUGCCUCUCUCUCCAGAAGUUCCAUCCCAUCUCAGAAGAUAGAACAUGAGAAGAUUGACUUCAAUUAUGAAUGCAGAGCUCCCUGAGACUUCUGGCAAUAACUUCCAAAGAGAAACAGACCAAGCAAAGGAGAUAAGUUCAUUCUCUAUAAAAUAUGUAAACACAGUGAAAACAAAAGCCUUUACAAAUGCUUUAACUUCAGGCUUGCUUAAAAAACAUAAAGGAGUAAGUUCAAUCUUUCCAAAUUGAAAAUACAAACCAAUGCAUUGAAGCAUUUCAGAUAACCUCUUGCUCAUGUUUAUUUCGUAUAUUUUCUGAUUUUUUUUGUCAUGUCAAUAUAUUUACUACUCUUGAGAGGUGUGUGUGAGGGGUGUAUGUAUGUGUGAGACAAGAGAUUUUAUUAAGAAAGCGAAAGGACAAGCCACAGACAAAAUAUUUCCAAACCACAUGUAGGAUAAAGUGCUCAUAUCUAAAAUGUAUAAAGAACAUUAAAAGCCAAUAAUAAGGGGAUAUCUAAACCAAAGUAAAAUAAGCAAUGGAGUUUAAUGGAAUUACUAAGUCUCAAAAUAAAGAUAUAUGAUGGCUCAUAUAUAUAUUUAUUACAUACUCUCAAAGAUAUGUAAAUGACUAAUAAACAGAAAAAUAAUUAUAUGCUCUGACAAUUCUACUCUUAGGCAUUUACCCGCGAAAUGAAAAUGUAUAUAUAUAAAAGGUCUUACAAACAACUGUUCAUGGCAGCAAUGCAAAAGAUGCCACAAAUGUAAGCAAUGUAAAUGUGCAUCCUCUGUUACAUAUGUUAUAAUGUUGUAUAUCCACAUAAUAAAAAUCAUUUAGCAAUACAAGGGACCGAACAAUGGAUAAAAUUAU